CUUUGUUGAGGUCAUUGAGGAGAUAAGGCAAGUUAAUAUUAACAGUAAUGUUCUGCUGGUGUUGGCAGAGCAGUGGUGUUUACUGUUGAGGGCACAGUUCCUUCUGGCAUGCGUGGCAUUGCUGCUAAGCAUACUAUUGGCUGAGUUACUGUCUCUUGAAGAUUACUAUUCUACUGCAUUCUCUUGUCUUAUGCCAUGGUCUACCUGAUGCCUUACAGCAUUUUAUUGCCUCCUGGCUGAGUGCAAAAUUGUUGUAUGACAUGGCCUGAAGGGAGAAAAAGAAAAAAACUGUGGAGUUUCCAGUAACCAGUAGAGUAAGAAAAAAUUAUACUUAUUUGUCACAUUUGGCAUAACAUUCUUUUCUCUACAAAAUUGCUGUAGCAAUUUUUUUCUUAUUUAAAUGUUGUAACUCCACAUUGACUAAAAAGGAAAAGUGAAAUUGUUUUAGUUUGCUAAGAAAAUUUUGGUCUCUACAAUUUGCCGUUUUUUGUCAUUAAUCACUCAUAUUUCUAAAAUGCCACUUUGUUGAAGAUGUGUGAAAUGGCUCCAUGCUUUCAGUACCACUUGAGAAAGAUUUGCUCUGCAGGGCCCAUAAUGAUGCCAAGGGACAACAGCUCAGUGAUUCAGUCAAGUCCUACAGUAUUACAGAUGACACCACUAAGAGCCACACACUGUAGGAUUCCUCAUCCCAUUUUCUUGUCUGGAGGAAUUCUUGCUACAUGGACAUCUUGGUAAAAGAUGUUCCACAAAUGAAUAUCAGGUCUGCCAAGCUCCAAAGUCUUGUAGUUUCUUUUACUGAAGAUGGAUUAGCAGAAUUAAUGAAUCAUGAAGACAUCCUGCUCAUGGUAGGCCUGGAUGUGGGCAGAUGUGUGAAGUAGUGGCUGGCAUGAACACUGCUGCUUUUAGUUCUGGGGCAUUAAGUUGUCUCACACAAACCAGGCAUUGAACACUAGUUGUUGUUAGCCUAAACAUGGCAUAAGUCCCUUUUAUCUAGCUUAGUUUUAGACACAAUUGCCCCAAUAUGUUAUUCAACAGCUCUUGUGAAGUAGUUAGCUGCUGUCCUGUGAAUCACUAUCACAGUUAGCCCUUUGCAGAGAUUUUAGGAACAGAUGUCAGCACAUAGAUGCAGCAUCAAUUGAGAAAGCUACUUAGUAUGUAGUGAUUUAGUAUCUUUGGAUCACUAAUGAUUGUUUACCUCUGUGCUCUCAAAUUUAUGAACAUGUGAUUCUUUUUUAUUUCUAACUUUAUAACAUUAUGAGAAAUACUACUUUUUAGUCAUUGCUAUAUCAAUUUGACUUUAAGAAUUUAGUUUCUAUUAUAUUUCAAGAAAAGACUGUCCUGAAGGCAUGAUGAAAUAAUGUGUGAUCUGUCCUCUGACAUGGGAAAUCAUGUAAGGAACUUGUGCACCCAAGAUGUCAGGAAUGACACUGGCCUCCAUUAGGUCAUAUAGAGUUGUGUCCCUUAGAACAUGGAAUGUUCAUUAAUUGCAUUAGUGCUUGCUCUAUAUAAAGAAAUGUAUUGUCAGUAACACUGCAUAUGUUGGAUGAACCCAAUAAAGUGAAGUGUUUAUUUUAUUUUUGUUUUUGAUAUGUAAUGCAUAACAGCUUUUGGUUAUUUGCCUUGCCAUUUCGCUUUCCUUUAUUGUACAGAAAACCCUUUAUAUGAAAUGUUAAUUAUUAUUUUAAUGACAGAGUGUAUGUGUACCAUGUGAUAAUAUUGUCUUAAGUGUGUGUUCUGGGCUUGGUGUGUGGAUGUAUGGAAGCAAUUCUACCUUAAUGAUAGUAUCUCUAAAAUAUGUAAAGAUCAGGUUCCUUGGGAUCCUUAUCUUUUCUUCUAUGAUGAUGAUGAUGAUGAUGAUGACAAUUAUCAUUAUUAUUAUUAUUAUUAUUAUUAUUAUUAUUAUUAUUAUUAUUAUUAUUAUUAGUGUUAUUAGUUAUUAUUAUUGUUGUUUUAUUAAUAAUAUUUUAUUAUUAUUAUUAUUGUUAUUAUUAUUAUUAUUAUUAUUAUUAUUAUUAUUAUUAUUAUUAUUAUUAUUAUUAUUAUUAUUAUUAUUAUUAUUAUUUCAGUGCUGCUGUUACAUAGAUACAAUAUUAAUUAUUUUACUUUAUAAUCCAUAAAGUAAAGCAAAAAAAAAUAUCGCUAUAUUAAUUUACCUUUUGAUAAAAUUCAUAUAAAAAAAAAGGGUGGUAAAGUAUCUAAGAUACCCCUGAAAGCAUUUUCCUUGUAUAUACUCAUCGCUGAGAGGUGGCAGCACCGCUGCUGUCCUCCAAACUUUAACCCAUACCACUGAUUCCUUCUUACACAUUCCUUGGUCCCCUCUCUCUUCAAACAGUAGCUGGGGAGAUUUCAGAGAGUGUGGAUGUGGUGCUGAGUGAGUCCAGGUGAAUGUGUAUUUAGGGAUGGGUAUUCCUGUAUAUUUAAGGGUGGGCUUGCCAUAUAACAUCACAUUAUUAUUAUUAUAUAUUGUACAAGGCCCUAUGAGAGGCCAGAAUCUGAGAGAAGGCAGAUAUUAGAUGAGAGAGUAUUUGUGAGUCAUAUCCAGGCUGCUCCUGUGAUGGAGGGUGAAUCUGUGCACAGUAUUAUACUUUUGUGUCAUUGUACCUAUGGUCUGAUCAUUUUAAAUUGAACGUUUGGGCGUUUUUGUUUCCGGGAGAUCCCCUGCCCUGCAGCGCUGCCAGCCAAUUAUCGGAUUAAAGCCUGUGUCACUGAUAAUCUUGCUCCCCAC